rnacentral:rRNA from 1 species
UACGUAGGGUGCGAGCGUUGUCCGGAAUUAUUGGGCGUAAAGAGCUCGUAGGCGGCUUGUCGCGUCGGAUGUGAAAGCCCGGGGCUUAACCCCGGGUCUGCAUUCGAUACGGGCAGGCUAGAGUGUGGUAGGGGAGACUGGAAUUCCUGGUGUAGCGGUGAAAUGCGCAGAUAUCAGGAGGAACACCGAUGGCGAAGGCAGGUCUCUGGGCCACUACUGACGCUGAGAAGCGAAAGCAUGGGGAGCGAACAGG